GGGGACGACUUGGCUUCGACGGGGAUAGAGGGACUGGCGAGCGCGUGCCCAGGGCCUGGAGCCUGGUAAAAAUCCGGGACCAAAGAAUAAUCGACAAUUAUUCUUACGCAAUGGCUGCUUAAGUAGCAGUCCGUCCCUGAAGGGCUUUACCUGCUGAGACCUUCAGAGGGCGUCGCCAAAGGCAGGUUAGCGGGCCUUUUUGCCUGGGAGAGGUCUGCGAAACGUCACAGGCUUAGUGGUUGAGUAUCCCUGUCUGUCGGGCACUCACCAUGAAAAUUAAAGACUGACUACGCACGUAGUGGUCUUCAGAACCGUAUUUCCGGACGUGGGUUCGAUUCCCACCGUCUCCACCC
rnacentral:tmRNA from 1 species